CUUCUUCGAGACUUUCUUGCCACGAUUCACCUGCACAUCCAAAGAAUAUUGAAAAGAGGAGAGACAUGGAGAUGCGUUAGCGGUUACUACUUCGCCGAUAUCGGUGAACGGCGUCUUUUACUCCGGAUUCCAAGUCAUCUGGGUGUUGCUGCGCAACCAAAACCGACGCCAAUCAGGUGUAAUCAUCUCGAGGUCUGUCAAUAUUAGGUUUACGAGAUCGUAUCUGACUUAAUUUGAUUUGUGAUUGUUUUGGUGGAUUAGACGGUGAUGAUGAACGGGUUGGAUUCCGGUAAGAUAAUACUGUGUUGUCGUUGUGUAAUUUGACCCAAAUCUGGGUGUUUCCGAUUAAUGGCAGUGCGACAUCAUUUGUUUUGGGUAAGUUAGGGGAUAAUAAAUGACGGUGUGUUUGUGGAGGAUUCGAUGCUAUGUUGAACGGUGUACCAUCUUUAUAAUUCGGGGAAGUCUAUACUCAGCAAGAUAUAGAUUCGUACUUCUUUUUAUAAAAGGGAGGACGAGGAACCAAUUGACGAGAAGAAUUACUUUGAAGAAUUAUGCAAGCCCAGGUGUGUUAGAGCUUGGCAUGAGUCUCAGAGGAUAAACAUGAGAAAGGUAAACCGAUCAAAAGAUUUGGAGUUGCUGAUUCUGUUUAAAGAAGUGAUGAAAAUGGAUCUUUUAUCACACUUAUUGUGUCAAAUUAAAGAACCGGAAAUUGAUCAUCACAUGUAGAUAACAAACAUUUCAAAACACACUUAUUAUGCAUUACCUGCGGAUGAUAAAACUCCCCCAUCCAAGAAAGGCGAGAACCAUGGUAGCAGCUAGAACAUCAAACACCCAUUUAUCAACAAGAAGCAG